CCUACGGGUGGCAGCAGUGGGGAAUAUUGCACAAUGGGGGAAACCCUGAUGCAGCGACGCCGCGUGCGUGAAGAAGUCUCUCGGUACGUAAAGCUCUAUCAGCAGGGAAGAAAAUGACGGUACCUGACUAAGAAGCCCCGGCUAACUACGUGCCAGCAGCCGCGGUAAUACGUAGGGGGCAAGCGUUAUCCGGAUUUACUGGGUGUAAAGGGAGCGUAGACGGCAGCACAAGUCUGGAGUGAAAUCCCGGGGCUUAACCCCGGAACUGCGGUGGAAACUGUGCGGCUGGAGUGCAGGAGGGGUAGGCGGAAUUCGUAGUGUAGCGGUGAAAUGCGUAGAUAUUAGGAGGAACACCGGUGGCGAAGGCGGCUUACUGGAGUGUAACUGACGUUGAGGCUCGAAAGCGCGGGGAGCGAACAGGAUUAGAUACCCUUGUAGUC
rnacentral:rRNA from 1 species